GCCCCUAAAGGAUAAUAGCUAAUCCGUUGGUCUUAGGAACCAAAGACUCUUGGUGCAAACCCAAGUAGCGGCU
rnacentral:tRNA from 1 species